AGCCUGUUGGUCAAGGGGUUAAGACGUCGCGUUCUCAGCGCGGAAUCACGGGUUCGAAUCCCGUACAGGUUA
rnacentral:tRNA from 1 species